AUAGGGUGACCGUGUGCCUGUUGAAGAAUGAGCCGGCGACUUAUAGGCACUGGCGGGUUAAACCGGAAAUGGUGGAGCCAUAGCGAAAGCGAGUCUGAAUAGGGCGUUUGUCAGUGUUUAUAGACCCGAACCCGGGUGAUCUAACCAUGGCCAGGAUGAAGCUUGGGUGAUACCAAGUGGAGGUCCGAACCGACUGACGUUGAAAAGUCAGCGGAUGAGCUGUGGUUAGGGGUGAAAUGCCAAUCGAACCCGGAGCUAGCUGGUUCUCCCCGAAAUACGUUGAGGCGUAGCGUCUCGUGCUCCAGCAGGGGGGUAAAGCCACCAUUUCGGUGCGGGCUGCGAGAGCGGUACCAAAUCGAGAUGAACUCUGAAUACCCUGUGUGUAGCGAGGCAGUCAGACUGUGGGGGAUAAGCUCCAUGGUCGAGAGGGAAACAGCCCAGACCGCCAGCUAAGGUCCCCAAAUCAACACUAAGUGAUAAAGGAGGUGGGAUUGCCCAGACAACCAGGAGGUUUGCCUAGAAGCAGCCAUCCUCAAAGGAGUGCGUAAUAGCUCACUGGUCGAGCGAUCCUGCGCCGAAAAUGAAUGGGGCUAAGUGUUGUACCGAAGCUGCGGAUUUAUGGUAGGGGAGCGUUCUAUGUGGGGCGAAGCGUUAGCGUGAGCGGGCGUGGACUGCAUAGAAGUGAGAAUGUCGGCUUGAGUAGCGAAAACAUGGGUGAGAAUCCCAUGCACCGAAACCCUAAGGGUUCCUCCGGCAGGCUCGUCCGCGGAGGGUUAGUCUGGACCUAAGGCGAGGCCGAAAGGCGUAGUCGAUGGAUAACAGGUCAACAUUCCUGUACCGGUUAUGUUUUGGGAAGAGGGACGGAGAAGGCUAGCCAAGCCAGAUGUUGGUUACUGGUUCAAGCGUUCGAGGCGUUGAGGAUCGGCGAAAACGAUCCGAGCUGAGGCGUGAGUACGAGCUGCUACGGCAGCGAAGUUGGUGAUGUCAUGCUUCCAAGAAAAGCUCUAUACCCGUUAAGGCAUAACUGCCAGUACCCGAAACCGACACAGGUGGGGUGGUAGAGAAUACCGAGGUGCGCGAGGUAACUCUCUCUAAGGAACUCGGCAAAAUGGCCCCGUAACUUCGGGAGAAGGGGUGCCACAGCAAUGUGGUCGCAGUGAAGAGGCCCUGGCGACUGUUUACCAAAAACACAGGUCUCCGCUAAGUCGCAAGACGAUGUAUGGGGGCUGACGCCUGCCCAGUGCCGGAAGGUUAAGGAAGCCGGUCAGCGUAAGCGAAGCUGGCGACUGAAGCCCCGGUGAACGGCGGCCGUAACUAUAACGGUCCUAAGGUAGCGAAAUUCCUUGUCGGGUAAGUUCCGACCCGCACGAAAGGCGUAACGAUCAGGGCGCUGUCUCGGAGAGAGGCUCGGCGAAAUAGAAUUGUCUGUGAAGAUGCGGACUACAUACACCCGGACAGAAAGACCCUAUGAAGCUUUACUGUAGCUUGGUAUUGUGCCCGGGCUCUGAAUGCGCAGGAUAGGUGGGAGACGUUGAUCUAGUGCUCGUGGGUACUAGGGAGUCAAUGGUGAGAUACCACUCUUUCAGAGCUAGGGUUCUAACGUUCACCCGUUAUCCGGGGAGCGGACAGUAUCAGGUGGGCAGUUUGACUGGGGCGGUCGCCUCCUAAAAGGUAACGGAGGCGCGCAAAGGUUUCCUCAGGCUGGUUGGAAAUCAGCCGACGAGUGCAAAAGCAGAAGGAAGCUUGACUGUGAGACCUACAAGUCGAACAGGGACGAAAGUCGGCUUUAGUGAUCCGACGGUUCUGAGUGGAAGGGCCGUCGCUCAACGGAUAAAAGUUACUCUAGGGAUAACAGGCUGAUCUCCCCCAAGAGUUCACAUCGACGGGGAGGUUUGGCACCUCGAUGUCGGCUCA
rnacentral:rRNA from 1 species